GAUGAACGCUAGCUACAGGCUUAACACAUGCAAGUCGAGGGGUAGCAGGGUAGCAAUACCGCUGACGACCGGCGCACGGGUGAGUAACACGUAUCCAACCUUCCCAUAACUCUGGGAUAGCCUUUCGAAAGAAAGAUUAAUACCGGAUGGUACUUUUUCAAGGCAUCUUGAGAAAGUUAAAGAUUUAUUGGUUAUGGAUGGGGAUGCGUUCCAUUAGAUAGUUGGUGAGGUAACGGCUCACCAAGUCUUCGAUGGAUAGGGGUUCUGAGAGGAAGGUCCCCCACAUUGGUACUGAGACCCGGACCAAACUCCUACGGGAGGCAGCAGUGAGGAAUAUUGGUCAAUGGGCGAGAGCCUGAACCAGCCAAGUAGCGUGAAGGAUGAAGGUCCUAUGGAUUGUAAACUUCUUUUAUAGUAGAAUAAAGUGAUCCACGUGUGGAUUUUUGUAUGUAUACUAUGAAUAAGGAUCGGCUAACUCCGUGCCAGCAGCCGCCGUAAGAC
rnacentral:rRNA from 1 species